rnacentral:ncRNA from 1 species
ACCAUCCUUUUCUUGGGGUUGCACUACUGUCUAAUGAGUGCAUAAUGAGGGCAGUAUUGCUAAUGCCUAUACAAUGUACCUACAUCAACUAGAACUUUGCUUUACCUUGGUACAAUUUUUGGAAAA